ACAAAAGAGAGUUUUAUGUAUGAAUAAGAUUGAUUUGGUUGAGAAGAAGAAAGAUUUGUUAACGGUUGCCGAGCAAUUCAAAGAUCUUCCUGGGUAUGAAAGGCUGUCAAAAGAUGUUGGGAGGAAGAUCCAUUCAUCAUGACUAAGGAAGUAAUGAAGAAUAUAUCAUUAGAAGUUGUCCGAGAAAGGUUGUUAGACCAUGUCCAUCAGGAAAUCCCAUACGGUAUUGAACAUCGGUUGAUGGACUGGAAGGAGUUGCGAGAUGGCUCUCUUCGGAUUGAACAGCAUCUUAUCACACCCAAAUUAAGUCAACGCAAGAUUCUUGUAGGAAAGAAGGGCUGUAAAAUAGGGUAAAUACUGAAGUCCUGGUUCCAGCAUUUGUUUUGCUCUUCUGUAACUUUCACAUCAUUUGACUAUUUGUUCAAAAUUUUAACAAAAAGAAGACAUUUGUUGUAGGUUUUUUUUA